UACAGAGGUCCCGAGCGUUGUUCGGAUUCACUGGGCGUAAAGGGUGCGCGGGUGGGUUGGCAAGUUUGAUGUGAAAGCCCCGGGCUUAACCCGGGAAUGGCAUUGAAUACUGCUGAUCUGGAGGAUCGGAGGGGGGGACUGGAAUUCUUGGUGUAGCAGUGAAAUGCGUAGAUAUCAAGAGGAACACCAGUGGCGAAGGCGAGUCCCUGGACGAUACCUGACACUGAGGCACGAAAGCCGGGGGGAGCAAACAGG
rnacentral:rRNA from 1 species